GACGUAGGGUGCGAGCGUUGUCCGGAUUUAUUGGGCGUAAAGAGCUCGUAGGCGGUUCGGUAAGUCGGGUGUGAAAACUUUGGGCUCAACCCAAAGCGUGCACUCGAUACUGCUGUGACUAGAGUUCGGUAGGGGAGUGGGGAAUUCCUAGUGUAGCGGUGAAAUGCGCAGAUAUUAGGAGGAACACCGGUGGCGAAGGCGCCACUCUGGGCCGAAACUGACGCUGAGGAGCGAAAGCGUGGGUAGCAAACAGG
rnacentral:rRNA from 1 species